CAUUCAACCAGCCCAUAUUUCCUUAGCUUGCUUGCAAGGAUGUUGUGGGAAAGCAUAUGAAAAGCCUUGGUAAACUCAAGGCAUAUCUCAUCCACUGCUCCCCCAGCAUCCACAGAGCCAGUCAUCUCAACAUAGAUGGCAAUCAGGUUGGUCAGGCAUGACUUGCCCUUGGCGAAUAAAUAUUUUGGAGCCCACAAGGGCUUCUCUGCCACCUUGAGAAGGCCAGGCCCACCUGCAACUUUGAACUCACAACCUUUUAAAGGUCAGUACACCACUCGGAGCCCUGAUCCUCUUUGAGAAGUUCUUUGGUGCUCCUCUCUCCCAAUUCACCUAUUCAUUAAAUCCAUCCUGUCUAUUUUUAUAUCUUGUGUCCAUAGGUAAAAUCUUCCAGCAACUCUAUAUUCCAUGCAUUGCUUCUGCUGUGAUUCAUUUAAUACUGUGAUAGGCUGAACUGAUUAUCACCAUGGUUAAGGAGCACAAGAUGACACUUUUCAAAUGAUGCCAUAUGCCUGUACCCCAGGAGUUCAGAUUUUCAAGUUAAUGUAAACUGUUUGUGGGCUCAGACUGUCACAUAC